GCGCUGAUAGUUUUCCUGUUACAACUUCCCUUUGCUCUAUCAAUAUAAGUUUUUCUAUCUGUAGAUAUCUGUAUAAGAACUGUACAAUAUAUACAGCUUGUCCUCUGUACAUAUACAUUUGAAUCUUUCUUUAUUGCCAUUAAGCUAACCUCAAUGACAAUAUUUUCCUAUUCCCAACUGGACCCUAUGUUCC